rnacentral:misc_RNA from 1 species
GGCGCCCAACCUCCCACCCGUGACUACCUAACACUGUUGCUUCGGCGGGGAGCCCCCCAGGGGCGAGCCGCCGGGGACCACUGAACUUCAUGCCUGAGAGUGAUGCAGUCUGAGCCUGAAUACAAAUCAGUCAAAACUUUCAACAAUGGAUCUCUUGGUUCCGGCAUCGAUGAAGAACGCAGCGAACUGCGAUAAGUAAUGUGAAUUGCAGAAUUCAGUGAAUCAUCGAGUCUUUGAACGCACAUUGCGCCCCCUGGCAUUCCGGGGGGCAUGCCUGUCCGAGCGUCAUUGCUGCCCUCAAGCCCGGCUUGUGUGUUGGGUCGUCGUCCCCCCCGGGGGACGGGCCCGAAAGGCAGCGGCGGCACCGUGUCCGGUCCUCGAGCGUAUGGGGCUUUGUCACCCGCUCGAUUAGGGCCGGCCGGGCGCCAGCCGGCGUCUCCAACCUUAUUUUUCUCAGGUUGACCUCGGAUCAGGUAGGGAUA